GACUAAGACAUGCUAGUCGUGUGCCUCAGCCAAAACGAGGCACGGCGCACAGCUCAGUAACACGUGGCUAACCUGCCCUUANGACGAGAAUAACCCCGGGAAACUGGGGCUAAUGCUCGAUAGGUGAAGAACUCUGGAAUGAGUCUUCACUUAAAAGAGUCUACGUUAUGCUCGUANAUUUCGCUUAAGGAUGGGGCCGCGACCGAUCANGUUGUUGGUGAGGUAAUGGCUCACCAAGCCUUUUACCGGUGCGGGCCGUGAGAGCGGGAGCCCGGAGAUGGGCACUGAGACAAGGGCCCAGGCCCUACGGGGCGCAGCAGUCGCGAAAACUUUGCAAUACACGAAAGUGUGACAGGGCUAUCCCGAGUGCCAUCCGCUGAGGAAGGCUUUUACCCAGUCUANAAAGCUGGGAGAAUAAGGAGAGGGCAAGUCUGGUGUCAACCGCCCGGUAAUACCA
rnacentral:rRNA from 1 species